UACGAAGGGGGCUAGCGUUGUUCGGAAUUACUGGGCGUAAAGCGCGCGUAGGCGGUUUUGCAAGCCAGAGGUGAAAUGCCUGAGCUCAACUCAGGAAUGGCCUUUGGGACUGCGAGGCUUUGAGGACUGGAGAGGUGAGUGGAAUUCCCAGUGUAGAGGUGAAAUUCGUAGAUAUUCGCAAGAACACCAGUGGCGAAGGCGGCUCACUGGCUCGGUACUGACGCUGAGGUGCGAAAGCGUGGGGAGCAAACAGG
rnacentral:rRNA from 1 species